ensembl:lncRNA
GACUCAGUGCUUGCCUCAGGUGGUCAAUCAGAGGUUCAGGCCAGGAUUCAACGGUUCCCAUACACUCUCCAAAUGAAGGAGCAAGCAAACAAUUGUGUGGUGCUGAGCCAUCUUCCGGGAUAAACUCCAACAUCCAUACAUGACAGUGAGUCUGAAUCAUUUACUGAUCUAAUGAAAAAUGUCGACAGGGUUCUGCAAGCUUGGGUUUUGUUUGGUUUACUACUGCAUUUUUGCUACGAGGAUUUCUGCUGCACUCUUUCAAGAAACCAUGUAGGUGUUGUAAAAUUCAACUUUCCCUCAUGAUCAAACAAGCAUGUUAAGACUCAUUAUGAAGCCUGUGUGAGAGUAAUGUCUCCUGUAUUUAUUACAUGGGCCGACAAUGUCAGAAGCAGACAGUGGUGGUGUGGCAGUGGCUGUGUGACAGGAGGCAUCAGAGGGGCAGCCUGCCCAAAUGGUGUUUGACAUGAAGGUACAUAUGAAGCAAAACUGUGUCACUGAAUUAACCCAUGCAGAAAAAUGACACACAUUGACAAUCACUGACACUUGCUGCAAGUGUAUGGAGACCAAACAGUGGAUGUGAGCACAGUGAGGCGGUGAGUGCUGCAUUUCAGUAGUGGUGACAGCAACAUGAAAGACAAACCACAUUCUGGACAGGCAUGCACAGCUGUCACAAAACAAAAUGAAGAGUGUCUCAAACAUAUCAUCUUUGCAAAUUGGCAGAUUAUGACCAAAUUAUGAGGGAGUUGUGUAUGGAGCUGGAUACUGGCUUUAAUACAUUAGAAUUGGUAAUGACAAUGUUGAAAUAACACAAAGUUUGUGUCAGGUGAGUCCCACAGAUGUUCACACAGGAACAAAUAAGAGCCUGAAGGUGGUGGCGUCCUGGAUCACUUCAUUACCAAUGAUGAGACAUGGUGUCACCCCUAUGAUUUGUAGUCAAAAUGUCAGUUCAUAGGGUGGCAACAAGGGAUUUGCCCAUUGAAGAAAAAGUGUGUGAUGCAAGUUGAAGCAGUUGAAGGAUAUGAACUGGAUAGGAAAGGGUUGCUCCUUCUGGAUUUCCGGGAACCCAGACAAACCAUCAGCUCUAGCUGCUACAUCAUGAUGCUGACUAACAAGAAGGCUCAAACUUCCAUAGUCGGGUCAGAGAAGACAACCAUUCUCUUGCAUUGUGAUUACACCAAGUCCCAUCCCAGUUUGAAGACCAUGGAACACAUUGACAAUCUUGGUUGGAUUGUUCUACUACAUCCAACAUAUAUUCCGAAUUUCAUCAUCACAGAAUCAUGAUAGACUCAUUUGAGUAGCAAGGUACUCUUAAAGGUCAUCUAAUCCAAGUCCUUUGCAAUGAACAGGGACAUCUACAAUCAGUCACCUUCUGACUUCCAUCUGUUCAAGAUCCUGAAAGACUGACUGCGUGGACAACAUUUUUCUAGCACAAUGCCAUCAUAGAGCUAUAAAAUAGUGGGUCACUUCUAUUGGUGCAGAUUAUAUGACCGCAGUAUCCAGGAUCUUGUUCAUCGCUGGUCAAAGUGCAUAGAUAAUGGUAGUGGCUAUAUUGAAAAACAGUGUUUUGUAGCUGUUUUUGUUCUAUCAAAUAGUGCUAUUGUUCUCUUUGUAUCUGUUGUAGCUUCCAUGGAAAUAAAUAGGAAGCAUUACUUUUGAAGUGACCUAUGUAUAUUAUUUAUUUAUUAAAAUAUUCCUCUAAG